GGCUCGGGUAAUGGUGGUGAGGCAGAGACCCCGAGCCGGGGGUGUAAGCAGAACUGGAAGCCGUACCAGAUAGUAGGAACUGCAGAUGCUGGAGAAUCUGAGAUAACAAGGUGUAGAGCUGGAUGAACACAGCAGGCCAAGCAGCAGAGGAGCAGGAAGGCUGACGUUUCGGGCCUUCUUCAGAAAAUACAAUACUUAAGAAUAAUUCUGCCAUGAGUGCUAGAAGCAGGCAUUUACAUCACGAGACUGUAUAGAAACUGCAUUUCUUCUGGGGAAACUAGGCUUACCUGAAAUUUAUAACCCUCACGGCAAAUGCAGCAAGUCAAACCUGGUUCCUCAAUAAGUUCCUCCAUCUGCUUCAGUAACGUUGUUGUGGUGACCACCUGUCCUUUCUCAUUAGUCUGUUGAAAAAGAAUAUGCAUGAUAUUAAUGAAAAGACUUUGACUUGUCCACAAACUUGAUUAUCAUUAAUCACUUUUAAUGUUCUGCAAUUGGCAGCAUGCAAAUUAUAUUAA